GACAAGAGAAAUUCGUGCAGAGAGACAGAGAGAGAAGCAGCGGGGCCCCUAUGGAGGUCUGCGUGUGAGAGAUCUGCAGUGCAGAACAAAUCCAGUCAGAUUAAGCUGCUGGCUGCUUUCCACUGCCUUCGGAUGUCACAGCCUGUGGGUUCUUUUUGGUGUUUGUCCAGGUUCCUCCCGUCUCUGCCGCGUUUCUCACUUUAGAAGAUGAUGGGCUACACAUUACGUUUCAGUAGUUUCUAGUUGUCCUGAAUAAGAUUCUACUACGUUUUCAAAAUGAAUCUCUUCCUGAGGUUCAUACGUCCGAUCUGAGACAAUCCCAAGGAACAUACAGGAACAAAACCUACAGAACACAACGGAAGGGAAAACCAGUGUAUGUGGGAAGGUAGAGCAGAUGGCAAGCUCAGUGGAAACUAAUCUCUUUAUUGCCUUACCAAAAGCAAGACUGUAAAUUGUCUCUAUCUUAAUAAAAAAACACAAUGAC